rnacentral:lncRNA from 1 species
CCUGACACUAAAGCGCCAUGCCGGAAGCACUGAGUCUGAUACGUCGGAACCAGUCUCCACCGUGUGGUUUGGUCUUGAUUUCCACUGGUACUCUGGGGUCUUGGAUAAGUCUCUGGACCUCGCCUUUGUCAUUUGCGAAGUCGAUAGGUUCCAAUAGAGAUUUUCCCAGAAUCAUUCAACUAAAAAUAGAGAACUUUUUUUUUUUGAGAGGAAGGACGGGGGCGCAGUUAAAGAUGUUAAUGUUAAGUCAUCCCUUCUGUGAUUUCGGGACAUUAUCUUUGCACG